UUGUAAAAUUUUUUUGAUUGGGGAUUGUUAUUUAUGUUGGUGAAAAUGGUUAUUAAGUUAAAUAUUAUUUUUUUUAGUAGAAUUUUAAAAAAUUAGGUUUAUUAUAAAGUAAAGUAUUGAAAAAGAAUUUAAUUUAAAAAAGUAAAAGUUAAAUUGAAGUUUGUACCUUUUGUAUCAGGGUUUAAAGAAAAAUGAUUGGAUAAACGAAUCUCGAAAAAUUAAGAUUUAAGUUUUUAGUAUUGUUAACGUGUCAAAGUUAAUAUUAAAUAAAAAUUUGGGAAUGAAAAGUUAGUCGGUUAAUAGUGUUUCUAGUUUUUAAAAAAAUUAAUUUAAUUAAGUUUUGAUGGGUUUAUUAUUUAUUUAUUAUAAAGAAAUCAAAAGAAAAUUAUGAAGAGUUUAGUUUUUAUAAUGUUUAUAUACAAAUAAAUGAAAUAUUUUUUUUAGAAUUAUUAUUGUUUAAAAUUAUUAAUUUUUAAAAAAGAAAAUUUUUUUAUAAUGAGAUUUAUUUGGAAUUAAAAGUUUAUUUAAGUUAUGGAUUAAAGAAAUAAAUCCAAGGAAAAAUUUUAAAAUUAGUAAACUUUACAAGUGUAAUAUUGGAAUUCGGCAAAAUUAGUUUUCGCUUGUUUAUCAAAAACAUGUCUUUAAGGAAUAUUUAUUUAAAGUCCAGUCUGCUCACUGAUAAUUUAAAGAGCUGCAGUAUAUUGACUGUACAAAGGUAGCAUAAUCAAUAGUUUUUUAAUUGAAAACUGGAAUGAACGAUUAGACGAGAAAUUAACUUUCUUUAUAACAAAAAGUUGAAUUUAAAUUUUGAGUGAAAAUGCUCAAAUGAUUUUAAAAGACGAGAAGACCCUAUAGAUUUUUAUUAAUUUAUUAAUAAUUUGUUUUAUUAAGAAUUAAUUUGAUUGGGGUGAUCUUGUAAUAUAAAAAACUUAAAGUUAUUUAACCAAAAAUAAUUGAAUUUUUUGAUCCAAAAGUUUUGAUAAAAAAAUAAAUUACCUUAGGGAUAACAGCGUAAUUUUAUUUAAGAGUUCAUAUCUAUAAUAAAGAUUGCGACCUCGAUGUUGAAUUAAGAGUUUCACUGGGGCAGAAAUUGGUGUUAAAUAGUCUGUUCGACUAUUAAAUUCUUACAUGAUUUGAGUUCAGACCGGCGUGAGCCAGGUCAGUUUCUAUCUUUAAAUUAAUUUCAUAACUGGGUACGAAAGGACAAUUUAUGAAUAAUAUUUAUUUAGUUUUA
rnacentral:rRNA from 1 species